rnacentral:rRNA from 1 species
CUACGGGCGGCUGCAGGCGCGAAAACUUCGCAAUGCGGGCAACCGCGACGAGGGAAUCCCGAGUGCCUAUGCAAUUGUAUAGGCUGUUUAUAUGUCUAAAAAACAUGUAGAGUAAGAGCUGGGUAAGACCGGUGCCAGCCGCCGCGGUAAUACCGGCAGCUCUAGUGGUGGUCGUUAUUAUUGGGCCUAAAGCGUCCGUAGCCGGUUGGGUAAAUCCCUGGGUAAAUCGUGCAGCUUAACUGUACGACUUCCGGGGACACUGCUCGACUUGGGACCGGGAGAGGUUGGAGGUACUCCAGGGGUAGGGGUGAAAUCCUGUAAUCCUUGGGGGACCACCUGUGGCGAAGGCGUCCAACUAGAACGGCUCCGACGGUAAGGGACGAAGCCCUGGGUCGCGAACCGGAUUAGAUACCCCGGUAGUC